rnacentral:rRNA from 1 species
CGGACGAACGCUGGCGGCGUGCCUAACACAUGCAAGUCGAGCGAUGAAGUUCUUCGGAACGGAUUAGCGGCGGACGGGUGAGUAACGCGUGAGGAGCUGUCUUAUGCAGGGGGACAACAGUUGGAAACGGCUGCUAAUACCCCAUAAGCCGAGAGGUAAAAGGAGCAAUCCGGCAGAGGAGGUACUCGCGUCCUAUCAGCUAGUAGGUUGGGUAACGGCCGACCUAGGCGAAGACGGGUAGCCGGCCUGAGAGGGCGAACGGCCACACUGGAACUGAGAUACGGUCCAGACUCCUACGGGAGGCAGCAGUGGGGAAUAUUGCGCAAUGGGCGAAAGCCUGACGCAGCAACGCCGCGUGCGGGAUGACGGCCUUCGGGUUGUAAACCGCUUUCAGCAGGGACGAAGCAACACGUGACGGUACCUGCAGAAGAAGCACCGGCCAACUACGUG